rnacentral:rRNA from 1 species
AUUGAACGCUGGCGGCAGGCCUAACAAAUGCAAGUCGAGCGAGCGGCGGACGGGUGCGUAAUGUAUGGGGACUGCCCGAUAGAGGGGGAUAAAUACUGGAAAAGGUAGCUAAUAACGCAUACUAUGGGCUAACCAAUAUGGGAUUAGCUAGUAGGUGAGGUAAUGGCUCACCUAGGCGACGAACCCUAGCUGGUCUUAGAGGAUGUUCAGCCACACUGGGACUGAGACACGGCCCAGACUCCUACGGAGGCAGCAGUUGGGAAUAUUGCACAAUGGGCGCAAGCCUUAUGCAGCCAUGCCGCGUGUAUGAAGAAUGCCCUAGGGUUGUAAAGUACUUUCAGUCGGGAGGCGUUACCGACAGAAGAAGCACCGGCUAACUCCGUGCCAGCAGCCGCGGUAAUAC